GCAGUAAUACUGAUUUGUAGGUGUAGAAGAAGCUUGUUACAUAGGCAUAAUGGAAAGCCAGUAAUAACUGACACACACAACAGAAACGAAACACGACACAAUUUAUUUAUAGCUUGAGGACUGAACUCCGGUGUCGCAGAUCAUUCAUUUGCCGCAGUUGCAGCCAGAGCAGGUGCAGUUGGAGGCACACUUGCAGUUGGGGUUGUUCUCGGCAACCUCAUCAAAGUAGCUCCCCUCGGUCUCCAUGAUCACAAAGCCGUAGCUGUUCCCCUUCUUGGGGCAGUUGGUCUUGUCAGCGCAGUCGCAGUUGCCGCAGGUGGAAGACAUGGUUGUAGUUGAAAAGCUUUUAAAGUGAGGCUUCUGGGUUAUGG
rnacentral:misc_RNA from 1 species